ACAAUACACACACAUUCAAACGCAAAACCCAUCUGAUUUUCCUCCCAUUCUCCCUCUAUCUCAUGUUACUCCACCUUUCUUCUUCUCCGAUGAGCAAAACCAGUCGACUCCAGCGAAACCACAACCAUCGGAGUACGGCCUCUGAUCUCCAACCUCACACCAUUACCUCCUUCCCCUUUCAUCUCCCCCUCCCCAUUUCCCACUCUUUUCCACCACGGCAUCCCCGAAAUUGAUGGUCGGAGGGCUCCCAACGGCACUAUCGCAACUGUGCUGCCCCUUUUCCUCUCCCAUUUGCACUGGUUAGUAUAAAAAAUGGUCAGAUUCAUCUAUUUUCAUGCUUCUCCAGUGUUGCUCUGGCAUUUUUCCUGGGAGCAAUGCCUUCCCCUUCCUUAUUUGUCACAAAUAUGACCGAAGAGUUCAUUCUCUUGCGAGGUUUCCUAUUUUUGUUCAAAAUCCAUCAUUUUUGCUACACUUCGGAUUAUGUUGGAUAUAUUUUAUAUAUUUAUUUGUUAUAUUGUUUUGUUGCUAGUCAUGUUGUCUUGCUGCUCAUAUCUUUAUUGUUGUUGAAAAUUGUUUAAAUUUUAUGUCCCAGUGGCUUCUUGGUGAACUGUUUUGCUACUUUGUGUCAUUGCUAUUGUUAUUCUUGGAUUGAUUUUACCUUAUGUUGCUAAAUUCAUGUCGUCUUAGAGCCCCUAAUAAUUAACUCAAGUGACGAUCUCGUUCCUUCGUUGUUUGGUUAUUUUUAAUCUAUUGUUGCCUUGUGAUAUUUUAUUUAUUUGUUUAAACGGAUGAAUGAUGAGGUACUUGGCCAAUGAAAAUAUUACCGUCGUAUUUUGAGGCCUCCACAAAUAAAAAAUGGAUUAAACAUAUACAAAUACCUAAUAAAAAAUAAAUAUUUUGGGUGAUGACGAAAUUGUUAUAAUAUUUUAAAACUUUAUCCAAGCCUACUUUUUAAUGAAAAUUAUAUUUUUAAUAUAUUCUUUUUUACAUAUAUGAACACAUACCUUCUCAAUUCAUUUGAUAAUUAUUUAUUCUUUAGUAACAUUUUUAUUAUAAGUGUUUAUACAGGUUAUCGAGAAUACUUAUCGAAAACGAUAUUCAAAGAAGAAUUUUAAAUUUUGUGUUUGUAAUUUUUAUUCUUACACUUGUGUAAGUAUCAUCAUAGCAGAAAUUUUAUUUUGGAGCAUUGGGUGUUGAUAUUCUUUAUUUAUGUAAUCUUCACCGCACGUUUAGGCAAAUUUAGGUCGUUACUAUUUAUAUAAAAAAAGAAUUAAAUUGAUUUAGAUAUUUAAUUGAAUAAAUUACACUUUUUACACUAAAAUAUUACGUAUUUUUAUCAUUAGAACAGAUUUUUGUUUUUCAAUCUUUCUAUUUUUAAUACAUAUUCUCAUGCACUUUAAUUUAUCUGCAUACACUUUUUAUACGCAUAUAAGAUGAAAUAUGUAAUUUACAUAUUUUUUACAUAUAAAUUAUUUAUAUCAUCUUAAUACACAUUUUAUAUUUGUAUUUACAAACACUGGUUUUUUUCCUUGUUUAAUAAACCUAAGUCUGUCCGAGAACCACAUUUGUGGAUUCUGAAGGGUGCCUAACUCCUUCUAUUUGGAAUCAUUUGAACCUUACCGAGAAUUUAAAUUGGUUCAUAGAUUAAAAACACAAUUCAUACAUGUUAAUAAAUAAAUAGGUUUCCUUAAAAAUUAGAUGGCGACUCUGUAUAAAAUUAAUUUUUUGUGAGUCCAUAAUAUCGUGCUUGUUUUAAUCUAUGUAAAAAUAG
rnacentral:lncRNA from 1 species